AUUCAGACCCCUGCUGCUGAGCCCCAGGCUGCAAUUAAUCAGAGCCAAGGGCCAAAUCAGGGUCUGAACGUUAAACUAGACAGCCUGUCAUUUUUGUCAAACAAGAAGCUGAUUAAGUUUCAAUCAAAAGAACAAAAGACUCCAGAAAGAUUCUUCUUGGAAAAGCAGUGGCUUCAGCAAUCAUCCCGUGGAAAGUAAAUUUACUGUUGAGUCUGUGACUUAACUCUGAAGCUAGCGUGCCCUUUCUGUUUAAAUGGUGAGUCUUAGGAACAUCCUCACCAACUACAUGCAAUCCAACCCCUGCCAUACAGAAGAGCCUUUUUGCUAUGGACACUGAAAACUCUGCGUAUUCAUCAUGCACGUUGGGAAGAUUCUUUUUUAGCUAUGGUAUUUCAGGCCAGCCAUCGUGAAGAGACAGAGGAGGAGAUUUGGUAAGGAGCAAACGGGACAUGUGGAUGGGAGAACAGACUUGUGGCUUAUUGUAAAAAUGGAUGUGCACUGUUCCAUUCCUUCUUUCCGUGGUCUUUGGUAGUGGACUGUCCUUGUGACUUGCUUUGGAUGAUGGGACCCAGUAAGAGGCUCAGGAGCCACAUGCACACUGGGCCGGUCCUCUCUGGCUGGUCCCCUGAACCUCGUGACCACCACCAGGAGAGAUUAUCUUAUUUUUCAUUGUGGAAGGGGCUGAAAAGUCUAGCACGUGCUCUUCUCUUUCGUGAAGACAUGAGGCGUGCUUCACAGGCACCAGAAUCCACUGGCUGGACCCUCUCAGGGAAUCUGAGUUCUGGUUUGCUUUGAGGAACUUGCUUUUCCUGAUACAAACUGGCAGGAACAACCAGUCAGACCUGGGACAUCUCACUCUGCCUUCAUUUCAUGAAGCCUAGAAGUCCUCGUAAUCAAAUGUGUUCUCUUGAGAUUAAACCAACUUUCAUUAUAAAGUCAUGCUCCAGCCUUAGAAAGUCCCCAGUGAUCGUACAUUCAAACAGAUUAGGAAAGUCACCAAACCCACACAGCGUUGAGAGUUCUCGAAGUGCCAGAAACCUCCUGCAUUUUCUGUGAAAUGAGGUGAAGAGGUUCCAAGCCCCAGUGCCAGACCAGAUCGGCUCAUUUUCAUACUCGGCCAUUUUCACGUAGUUACUGGGAGAAGCCAUCACUUGGGUUUUCCCGCUGGCGGCCAGCCCUGCCCAUCCCUGCCCUCACCACAGAUUGCCUCCGUGAACUCAGCCGGGAAAAUACACUGGCCCCACUCCAUUUCUGGCUUUACUUCUUUUUUGUUUUGUUUUGUUUUGUUAAAGGGAAGUCAAAUAAAUGUAACCUGAGGUUUC